GAAAUGUUUUCAGAAUCUCCAUUGUGUUGAACGGUAUGAGGAGCAUACAAUUGCACAUGCAGUCCAGACUUUGUAUAAAAAGACCAAGGUGUAUCUUUGGCCUGCAUCCACUCAAACAGGGAUGAAAGCAGGCAGAACUGUCCAAACAAUUCUCAAUUUGGCUGGUUUCAAAAAUGUGAAAUCAAAGGUCAUCGGUUCAAGGAAUCCUCAUAACACAAUCAAGGCUAUUUUUAAGGCUCUAAAUGCGGUAUGUAGAAUAAUCUACUCA